AGUUCACGCAAGCCUCAAGUUUCUUUUCUCAAUGGAAGCACGAUUUUCACAAGAAAAUACUAAAAUAGCCUGAGGCACCCGGCAUUCGCUGACUCGCUUAAGUGGUAGUACGAGACUUGCCCAGUAACUGCUGUGUUGAUGGCGUACGCUAUCGGGAUCAACCCUAGGUAAUGUGAUCAUGCGCGAUAGAAAGAGCUCCAUAGUCCGGGUAAUGAUAUAAAUUAUAUAAAAAGGCCAAGCCGUGGGCCAGCUCCAGGAAUGUCCUCGAAACCAAGGCGCUCCACAGCCAAUAUUGUCGCAUAAGUUGUUAGCGUCAUGCUCUAGUUGCCUAACUCCGCUACCCACCAGAAAACUUCUGCCAUGGCAAGCCGGUGGAUGCAGAUCCGAGGCUUGCACCAAGCUCACUCAACUGGAAUACCCUUCUCCCCCAUGAAUACAGGCAUAAACUUAAGUUGACUGGGCAGGUUAUCCGUAUAGGAAAACCAUUUCGGUGCCUUUUCGAUGUGUCAAUAUGCUGAGAAUAAUGCCCCCAAAAAUGGAGACAUGGGCAUUACAUCGAGCUUGGUACGGUAUAAGUGCUUUGAUUCCCAGGUGGCGGGGCGCGGUUCAGAGACAGCGUUGAUGACUUUGUGGCGGUGUGCUGUGGCACCGGCAUCUGCGGCUGCGAGUUUCUGGGAGUAUUUUCCAGUGCUUCACGCCACGGGUCGCUAUCGGGGUACAUGUGUAGAAAAGAGAACGGUUGAGAUAU